AAAAAAAAAAAAAAAAAAAAAAAAAGAAGUUGGCCUAACAACCAUUUAGAAGCAGCCUAGUGCUAUGGUGACUGGUGAGCCCUGCCACUGGCUUUGACCAGUUACCCAAGUUUUCUUCCCUCUGCUCCCUCAUUUGUAUAUAGAGGCUUAUGAUGAUAGUGGCUGCCAUAUAGUAAGCGUCCAAUAAAUGGUUGGUGUUGUUAGCAAUAAGUUUAUGCAGUGAGUUAGUGGAAUUAAAAUCCAUGGAGGCUAAGUAUUUAGACAGAUGGGACCAAAUGGGAAAUUCCCAUCUGUUUUUUUCCAUUAGUGAGGAUCAGUUGUCUAGACUGGUAGGAUGUUAGGCCCUGCUUCUGACCACUCUAAUAUUCAACCGAGCCAGAGACAAAGGACCUAGAAAAGACAGGUAGACCUUGAAUUGCCACAGGUGAGCUAUCUAUAGGGAAAGGUGAGAAGCAGAAGUGAAAGCAGAAUUUACUGCCCAAAAUUUUAUAGGGAAAAGGAAGGAUCAGCUCAUUUUACUCACUUGAAAGAAUAUAACCAAAUAAAAUAUUAAGUGCAUGGGCUUGUGGAUUUAUUAACUUCACUAAGCAUCAUAGUUAGGCUGUCAAUCAACAAAAGAUGUUAACUCCAAAACAGUAAUUAGAGUGAUGGGUUGUUACAUUAAGUCACAGUUCAUCACAAGUAGUUUAUAAAAGCUAUUGUUAUAAGUUUAUGUAAGGAGUCUUUCGUUGUAUGUGUUAUAUCAGAAGCACUAUGAUCCCUUUGAGAGGCUUACGGUUAGCAAAUCUGAGAAUGCUUUUGUUAAAAUCUGGUGAUUUGGUGAUGGCUGAAAUUAAAGUGUAUGCAAUAGACCGCUAGAAUGGAGCUGAGUGAAUGAUAAAAAUAUCAACAUUCUCUAAAUCUAGUCUGUUUUUAAAAGGUAUCAUCUUGGACUAGAUUAUCAGCUCUUAGCCAUGACUGAAGGAGGAUUUACUUUAGAAAUGAAUUUAACAGGGAGUUCCCGUUGUGGUACAGUGGGAGAGAAUCUGACUAGGAACCAUGAGGUUGCAGGUUUGAUCCCUGGCCUUGCUCAGUGGGUUAAGGAUCUGGUGUUGCUCUGGCUCUGGCGUAGGCCAGAUGCCAUAGCUCCGGAUUAGACCCCUAGACUGGGAACCUCCAUAUGCUGCUGAUGAGGCCCUAAAAAGAAAAGACAAAAAAAAAAAUGAAUUUAACAGUAGCAGCUCAUGCUUCCUUUGUAAUGCCGUAUGCUAACACCUGUGAUGCUUUUCCUCAACACUGUUAGGGGCUCCCCUCUUGCAUGAGCAGGGUCAGGGGGAGCCUCGGGCCCGGGUUCUGGAAUGAGGUGGGGUCAGGCAGGGUUAAUUACAAUACAUGGACCUAAGUCAUCUCAGAAGAUCAUGGGAAUGAGGUGGAAAUUGAAAGCCAGGCAGCCCCUCUGGAGAGACUGCUGAGAGGGGACCAAGACACAUGAUGGAGGCAGGGACACAAGCUCAGAUCAGGAGAGCUGGAUAAGAAAUUAAGUGGGGAGAGGUCCCCGAGUCACUGAGGUAGAGUCUCAGACACAUAGGCUUCUCUAAAGCCUCCGGGAACUCUGACGUCUGCAAAGAAAAGCUUUCUUCCAAGUCCUAAGGAGAUUAUUCCCUAGAUGAGAUUGAAGUUGGUUCUCCAGGUGUUCCCUAGAUGAGAUUGAAGUUGGUUCUCCAGGUACCCAGGCAGCCUCUCCUUUCACUAACUUUUAAUUACCAUUUUCAAACAAACACACAGGGUUCUUUUCCCCUUUUGCCAUCAGCAUUGAACCUGAUCAUGUUUUAAUUCUUUUAGGCAAGAGGUAUUUUAAAUGAAUGGCAAACUUGUAUGGGACUUGAUGGAAAACUUCGCUAAAAGGAGGAUUGUGUCUAAGCUCUUUUUAUGCCAUUUUAGCAUCACUGCCUCAGCAACAGCCUGGGGAUUCCCUCCACCUCUGGUUACUUCCUUCUGUGCUGGCAGGUUCAUCAGAAGCAUUUGGAGUCAGGUUGGUUCAAAUCCUGGCUGAGUGACCGUCAGCAGCUCACAUGUUUGCACUGAGCCUCGCUUUCCUUCUUGGUAAGAUGAGGAUAAUUAUGCUCACUUCUUGGACUCAUCCAGACUCACCAUAGUGGAUCAGGCAGGCUGGGGUUCAGCCGUGGUUCUGUGCUGGGCACUACCCAUUGGGCACUCCUGCCUGUCUCUGAGCCCAGACUCAAGCAGCAAUCAGGCAAACAGGCCAGGAUUUCACCAUUGGAAAAUUCUCUUGGCCUCUGUUGGGCUCACUUGAAAUCUGUUGGACAGUGUCUCUAGCUGACCCACAAACAACAGGAUUUAGACCAGAUUGAAGUGCAUCAGAUUCAGUCUGUCUCCACCAAUAAAACUCUCUGUUGUAGUAAUAUGAGAAGGGGGCUGACAUGGUUCAGGCUGGGACCCAGAUGGAGCUCAGGUCCUUCACUCCUGCCCUUGAGUCUAAUAUUCAUAAGAAUUCUGACUUAGUCUUUCUGUAAUGACUAUUGAAAUAAAGGUAAAAGUAUUGUUAAAAAACAGAAAUUGUUUAACAUUAAUUUUAACACUUGAUUAAGUUUUGCUUCUGUCAUAGUCCCUGGCACCUU
rnacentral:lncRNA from 1 species